rnacentral:rRNA from 1 species
GACGAACGCUGGCGGCGUGCUUAACACAUGCAAGUCGAACGAAGUGGCGAACGGGUGAGUAAUACGUGGGUAACCUGCCCUCCUUUUUGGGAUAAGCCUUGGAAACGGGGUCUAAUACCGAAUAAAGGGGGAUGGGCUCGCGGCCUAUCAGCUUGUUGGUGGGGUGAUGGCCUACCAAGGCGGUAACGGGUAGCCGGCCUGAGAGGGUGACCGGGCACAUUGGGACGGUGAUACGGCCCAGACUCCUACGGGGGGCAGCAGUGGGGGAUAUGGCACAAUGGAGGGAGCUCUGAUGCAGCGACGCCGCGUGAACGAAGAGGGCUUUAGAGUCGUAAAGUUCGUUCGCUAUCGAGCGGGUAGGUGGAGAAGAAGCGCCGGCUAACUACGUGCCAGCAGCCGCGGUAAUUC